rnacentral:misc_RNA from 1 species
UUCUCCUUCUCUUCACAUUUCUCUCAUUAUUUGAAUAAUUUUUUUUUUUAAAUUUAUGGGUCAACUUCAUUUUGAUCCAUGGAAUAAAAAUUUUAAGAAAAUUAUUACAAUUAUCAUAAUCUCAAGGAUUAACUCAAUUAAGGAGUGUGUUUAUUGAUUAAAAUUUAAUUCUUGAAACAUUAUUCAAGAGUUAGUUUUUGAAUACACAAAUUGAAUGUAGAUGCAGCUAUAAACUCAAUUUAAGAGAGAUUUAGCCUUCAAAUGCAAUGAUUCAAAUUCAAUUAAUUGGGAUGAUAAUUAUGAGUUAUACAGUGAGAGAUUUAGCUUUUUGAUACAAUUGUUGUAUGUUUUCUGCUAGGUCAUAUACUUGUUUUUACUCAUAAUAAGUGAAUGGUCGAAUCUUCUAAUGAGUUGCUUGUUUUUCUUGCUUUAGUUCCAAACAAGUGCACCAAAAAGCUGUUUCAUGCGUCCUCCAGGGGCUAUUCUUGCCCCAGGCGAAAGUAUCAUAGCAACUGGUAAUUAAGCUUUGAAUAUCAUGUUCAUGUUACUGUGUUUGGGACAAUAUUCAUUUGCUAUCCAACAUUUUAUAAAAUACUCUUCUUAAUUUUGGAUGUAGUAUUCAAGUUUGUUGAGCAGCCAGAAAACAAUGAGAAACCAG